CGCCCUCCUCGAAGGGCAGGAGGCACCCGGGCUCGCGGCUCGGGCCGCCGCCGGGCUCGAUCUUCCCGAGCGGGGGCCGU
rnacentral:tRNA from 1 species